rnacentral:rRNA from 1 species
UCUGCCUUUCGGUGAGGAAUACCGGCGAGAAAUCGCCGACAAUACCGCAUACGCUCUCCUCGGAGAGCAAAGCUUCGCAAGGGGCGCCGGAAGAUGAUUCUGCGGCUGAUUAGCUAGUUGGUGAGGUCAUAGCUCACCAAGGCGACGAUCAGUAGCUGGUCUGAGAGGACGAUCAGCCACACUGGGAUUGAGAACGGCCCAG